AGUGAACGCUGGCGGUAGACCUAACACAUGCAAGUCGAACGGCAGCACAGUAAGAGCUUGCUCUUACGGGUGGCGAGUGGCGGACGGGUGAGGAAUACAUCGGAAUCUACUUUUUCGUGGGGGAUAACGUAGGGAAACUUACGCUAAUACCGCAUACGACCUACGGGUGAAAGCAGGGGAUCUUCGGACCUUGCGCGAUUGAAUGAGCCGAUGUCGGAUUAGCUAGUUGGCGGGGUAAAGGCCCACCAAGGCGACGAUCCGUAGCUGGUCUGAGAGGAUGAUCAGCCACACUGGAACUGAGACACGGUCCAGCCUCCUACGGGAGGCAGCAGUGGGGAAUAUUGGACAAUGGGCGCAAGCCUGAUCCAGCCAUACCGCGUGGGUGAAGAAGGUCUUCGGGUUGUAAAGCCCUUUUGUUGGGAAAGAAAAGCAGCAGGUUAAUACCCCGCUGUUCUGACGGUACCCAAAGAAUAAGCACCGGCUAACUUCGU
rnacentral:rRNA from 1 species